GUGAGACUGCAGGGACAUGUUCUAUACACCAAAACUGCUUCAUUAAGCUAAAGUUGUUCAGGUGACUGCAGUGUCCCUUUAACCCCUUAAGGACCAAACUUCUGGAAUAAAAGGGAAUCAUGACAUGUCACACAUGUCAUGUUUCCUUAAGGGGUUAAACAAGAAAUUCCUGUUUUGCUAGUUACAAGUCAGAUAAUUCAAAUAACUUUGUGUCUUUUUUUUUUCCUUUUAAACAAUGCGGGUGUAAAGGCGAAUAAUCUUAGCUAACUGAAAAGUGCUUUGUAGAGUCCCUAGAGGUGUACUAUGUUAACUGUAACCUGGGGGGUGGUGGGGGGGUGAAUGUAUUUUGGCACACCCCUCACCCCCCAAACUGCAGAAUUGUUUGUUUUUUGUCUUU